GACGAGCGCUGGCGGCGUGCCUAAUACAUGCAAGUAGAACGCACAGUUUAUACCGUAGCUUGCUACACCAUAGACUGUGAGUUGCGAACGGGUGAGUAACGCGUAGGUAACCUGCCUGGUAGCGGGGGAUAACUAUUGGAAACGAUAGCUAAUACCGCAUAAUAUUAAUUAUUGCAUGAUAAUUGAUUGAAAGAUGCAACUGCAUCACUACCAGAUGGACCUGCGUUGUAUUAGCUAGUAGGUGGGGUAACGGCUCACCUAGGCGACGAUACAUAGCCGACCUGAGAGGGUGAUCGGCCACACUGGGACUGAGACACGGCCCAGACUCCUACGGGAGGCAGCAGUAGGGAAUCUUCGGCAAUGGACGAAAGUCUGACCGAGCAACGCCGCGUGAGUGAAGAAGGUUUUCGGAUCGUAAAGCUCUGUUGUAAGAGAAGAACGGGUGUGAGAGUGGAAAGUUCACACUGUGACGGUAUCUUACCAGAAAGGGACGGCUAACUACGUG
rnacentral:rRNA from 1 species